rnacentral:other from 1 species
UAUGGCCUGCGGAACUCGUGAUAUGGGUUGCGGAAAAGCUAAUAAAUUUAAGGGAACCGAGCCAUGGGUGGCAUGCAUGCCGGCUAGUCCCGGAUCCAUAAAACCCAUAAGGUAGGUGCCCACCUAGUGCUUGGCUUUAACGGACAAGCAUACACGGUUCUCGCGGGUCAUUU